AUUGAACGCUGGCGGCAGGCCUAACACAUGCAAGUCGAGCGGAUGAAGCGAGCUUGCUCCUGGAUUCAGCGUCGGACGGGUGAGUAAUGCCUAUGAAUCUGCCUGGUAUUGGGGGAUAACGUCCUGAAACGGGCGCUAAUACCGCAUACUUCCUGAUGGAGCAAGUUGGGGAUCUUCGGACCUCUCGCUAUCAGAUGAGCCUAGGUCGGAUUAGCUAGUUGGUGGGGUAAAGGCCUACCAAGGCGACGAUCCGUAACUGGUCUGAGAGGAUGAUCAGUCAAACUGGAAGUGAGACAGGGACCAGACUCCUACGGGAGGAAGCAGUGGGGAAUAUUGGACAAUGGGCGAAAGCAUGAUACAGACAUGCCGCGUGUGUGAAGAAGGUCUUCGGAGUGUAAAGAACUUUAAGUUGGGAGGAAGGGCAGUAAGUUAAUACCAUGCUGUAUUGACGUUAACAACAGAAUAAGCACCGGCUAACUUCGUG
rnacentral:rRNA from 1 species